rnacentral:misc_RNA from 1 species
UUCAGCCGUUGAUUUAGCAGCAAGAAGGGGAGUCUUCAGCCGACGACAUUAUGGAUCAGUUGAAUUGCUAACGACCUGCGAUCGAGAUGGAUGUACCUCAGGAAGAUUCCGAGUGGAAGACGGUGAGCGAGAUGAGAUGUCCAAUCUGGCCACCGGCACCGACAUCCACCUGGAGAACCCUGAAUAUGAGACGCGCUGGUAUUUCAAAUACUUCCUCGGCAAGAUACAUCAGAAUUACGUGGGUCUGGACGUCGACAAGCGCGUAGUGUUCCUGUCCGUCGUUCUGACAGACGCCAAUAACCACAACGUGCCCCAGUACCGAUCGAUCCUAUGGCGGACCACGGGGACCCAGAAAAUCUGCAUCCCGUACAACCCGGCCAAGCCCAUGUCAGUCAAGAGAAUACUCAGCCGGUUCGACAUCAAAAUGGACAAGUCGCCUAAAGAGAUUUUCACACCAGACAUACAGAAGGAAUUGUUGCUUCUUGAGGAGCAGGAAGGUUCGGUCAAUUUCAAAUUCGGGGUGCUCUACGCCAAAGAGGGGCAGAAAUCGGACGACGAAAUGUUCAGCAACGAGAAUGGCAGUGAGGAGUUCUAUAACUUUGUCAGACUACUGGGCGACAACAUCAAGUUAAAGAACUGGGACAAGUUCAACGGUGGUCUAGACGUCAAAAACAACACAACAGGACUUGAGGCUGUGUAUACCAUGUACGAGGGACACGAAAUCAUGUUCCAUGUCUCCACUAUGCUCCCGUACUCCAAAGACAACAGACAACAGGUUGAAAGAAAAAGGCACAUCGGCAACGACAUUGUGACCAUAGUCUUUCAGGAACAGGAAAACCCGGAAGCCGAGCCUACCUUCAAGCCGUCCAUGAUCAAAUCACAUUUCACCCAUAUAUUUGCUCUAGUAACGUUUAACAAGUCAGCUAAUUCGUACAGGUUACGGGUGUUUUCUGAGGAAUCAGUGCCUUUGUUCGGACCGCCGCUGCCUUCUCCCUCCGUUUUCGAAGACACGCAGGCGUUCAGAGACUUUCUACUCGUCAAACUUAUAAAUGGUGAGAAAGCUGCCUUCAACACGCCUACCUUUGCUAACAAGCGACAAAGAACCCUGGAGAUGCUGAUAAAAAACCUCCAACAGGAUCUACCAGAGACAAACAAGAACAUGCUGAACAAGAGAUCCUUGAGUGACGUCAUCCCGGAGCCUGUCUGGGGAUGGAGAAACAAGAAGGAGGAAGCGAGACAAGUGGAAUUUGUCCGAGUCGGUCAGUUGCUGAAACUUAAAACAAUCGUCAAGGGAGACGCUCCCACGAGUUUAGCGACAACAAGUCUCCUCAAACGAGAGCCUUGGGAACCACAAUGUAUCCAUAAUGACUUCGCACAUGAAGUACAGUGCGGAGAUUCCUGGGGCGAUCGGCUCAUAGUAGGUACGGAGGUUGGAAUAUUCUGCAUUGAAGAGGGACUUCCUCCACGCAUGCUGUUUGACCGGACAGUGACUGCCAAACAACUGAGUGUCGUCGAGGCUCACGAUCUUCUGAUCUUCAGAGCUGACAAGGGGAAGGAAAGCCGAGUGUACGUGUUCCGUCUGACCGACUUUGAAGGCGAGCCCAACGAGCUGAUCGUGCGGACCAAGAAUGACUGCAAAGACCACAAACUGGAGAGAACGAAAGGUUGCCAGCUGUACGCCUUGAGUCGGCCCGGAGGCAGCCAUCUACGGAUGGUCGUAGCAGUAGGCAAGAAGCUCCUGGUCAUGGCUUGGAAGCACAGCGCUGCGUGGACGGCGUGGUGUAUGGCGGCCGAUACCGACCCGGUGGAAGGGUUCACGUUUGUCAGGGAACUUGUUGCCUCAGAGGUACCCAACCUCAUGACACUGGUAGACGGCGGCAAGGAAGAUAACCAAAUCUGCGUAGCCUUCAGGAACCAGUUUGAUCUCAUCAAUGAAAAAAACGGAGAUACCUUCCGCCUUCAUCUCGUCGAGACCAGCAAACAGGUGAAUCUCGUAUCUGCCUUGGAUAUAUACGAAGAUGAAGAACCUGAACUUCUACUCUCGUACAACCAUGUGUCCCAGUUCAAGAAGCUCAACGGCGAGAACUCGUCAGAUUUUGACAUCCACUGGAACUCAGCACCAAAAGCCAUCGUUUGUGCCUUCCCCUACAUCCUGGCGUUCACACACGACUCCAUGGAGAUUCGCCUCGUUGUGAACGGCAACCUCGUACACACAAUGACCAUGCCACGACUCAACCUCAUAUCCUCCAAGUGCGAUCUUCACUUCACGUCUACGGGUACACCAGACUUACUGCACGGCCUACAACCCAGCCCCAGGGACCCGAUCCGACCGUUCAGUCCGCUAGCUAGUCCCACCAAUCCCAAUGCAAUUGCUCCGAUGAUGGGUUCCCCUACUCGCAUCUUCAAGAUCCCACUGAUAAGCCUCGUCGGCCAGAUGACGGAGCGGCCGGUCCAGCCUACCAACAACCGGCCUCGGUCCUUCAUCUCCCCGCUAGUCAACAUCGCCGAGACCUCCUCGGCUAACAAACCCACCAAUAGGCUGACCACCCGACCGCAGAGCGACACAGCGCUGUCUGCGUACGAGAAGAACAUGGCGAACGACAGCGGGAACGCGGAGGGCCUGGCGCCCUGGCGCACCGGGCCGCAGCUACCCCGCCCCUCUGGUGAAUACUCGGACUCGGGCUACUCGGAGUCCGAUGUGUCGUUCGAGUCCGCGGACUGCACGGACGCGCCCCGGGGUUACCCGUACGAGUCCGCACGGGUUGGGCAGGACUCGUCCGCCGAGAUGCGCCGGAAGAUGUUCAGUUGUCUCCACUCCCCGCGGCAGCAACGCCGGACCUUAUCCUCGCAGAGCGCCGACCCGGAGGCGCGGGCCGAGUUACUGGGGACCUCCAAGUCCAAAUCGCGUUCUCGAUUUGGUUCCAAUCACUCGGACUCGGUCUUCUACAGCAACUCGCGGACCCCGGGGCUCACGGACAGCCGGUCUAGCUCAGUAGCCUCCGAAACUGAUUCCUGCCGGUCUGACACGGGCACUUUGCAGUCCUGGCCCCGCUCCAUCCCUCGGUUCGGCAGUAGCGGGUCUACAACCUCGCAGUCCGAGGCCGAGAUGAGAGCAGAGCUCCUCGGCAAACUCCUACGGUCUCCGAAGCUCGGUCGCCCGUCGACCUCCUCGACGAUGUCCACUCAGUCGGACUCGGAGGACCGAGGCUCCGUCUUCGAGAGUGUCAGUCCCGUCAACAAGACAAGCCAUCCUUUCUAUCUCUCCUCAUCGGUUGACGAAGAUGAUAUCGACCUCAAGUAAAUAUGUGUACAUAGGACGUUAAUAUACUGAGCCAUUAAGCCCCGCCCACUGCGCACGUGGGCAACACUUAUUAACAGGUGCACUUCUCCCACACCGCAUGUUCCAAACGCGCACGUCAUACGCGCGUGCACGCAUGUCGAACAUUAAUAACGACUGUAAUUGGCCCCAAAAAAACUUGGGCGGGGCUUAGUGGAUCGGUAUCUGCAGUGACGUAGUUGAGUCCAGUCACAAGGGAUCACGGAUCCUCUACACGGAUCCUUCCCGUGAGGGGCUGGGGAUGCACAAUUACAAAAGAAUCUUAAAAAAGAAUCUUAAGAGUCACAAUUAAUUUGAAUAGACCUUUAUCAUGCUGCCACCAUUUCAGUCAUGUUCCCUGUAUCCAAUAACAUAACUGAAUGAUAAUGGUUUUUGUGCAAAAAGGAACUAGACUAUCUUUCUUCCAGCGUCGCUUUGGUUACGUUGAUUUGAAUGGGAAAAAAAUCAAGAUGGCCGCAACAGGAUAAUGAUCAAUAACAGUACUGAAUGAUAAUUUUUUUGGUGCAAAAAGGAACCAGACUAUUUUCCUUCCAGCCUCGCUUUGGUUACGUUGAUUUGAAUGGGAAAACAAUCAAGAUGGCCGCAACAUAAUAAUGGUCUAUAACAGUACUGAACGAUUUUUUUGGUGCAAAAAAAGAACCAGACUAUUUUUCCUUCCAGCCUCGCUUUGGUUACAUUGAUUUGAAUGGGCUAAAAAUCAAGAUACCUGCCACAUGAUAAUGGUCUAUAGCGUGUGACUUGACUUGAAUUUGGUGGACUCGUGAUGAACUCUGCUACAAAACUGGCGUAAAUAUGUGCAUAUAGAAAACUAAUUGGAUCCAGAGUUAUUUUUCUAUUUUACAUUUUGUAAAGCAUUCCAAAUCAGAUAUUCUGAGGUUUAUGAAUACAAACUCUUUACAAAAAGAGAGAAAUAUUUACUUUUUUUGUCUUGCCGUUUUCUUCCUUGAAAAACAUCAGUUCAAUUUUUAUUCCUUCGAAAUAUAUUUGUGGUCAAGGUACGUCCUACGCAUAAACAUUAUAAAAAACAUACUGUCGGGAAAGCAAAAGGUCUAAGAUGAAUGACAUAGGCCAUGAGCUGAAUUGUGAAUGACGACAUGGAUAUUUGUUUUCGUGUCCAAAAUGCUUGAAUCAUAGGAAAGUAUGCAUACAUGCCGCUGUCUUAAAAGAAAUAAAGUGGACAUAGAAUUGGGUUUUGUGGUAUUUUAUUUUUGGCAUUUCAAAACAUUAAUGUUUAUUUCUUUAUUUAAUUCUUUCCUAACUCUAUCACCUUACGGAUUUUUGAUUUAUUUGUAAUUUUAAGUAAAACUAUUUUGAUACUACUGAUUUAAGACGCUGAUGACAAAUCACCGUUGUAUAAAAUACAUUUCCAGGGACAGUUUACACACUAAUUAUGAAAAUCGUACGAAUUUGACAUAAAUGACCGACUAAAAAGGUUGUAACGUAAAUGAUUGACCUUUUUCACUUCGUUUCUUGCCAUCGUGUUUUACAAAAUAAGAUUCUAUAUGUAAAUCAUGUGUUUAUUACUAACAUCGAGCGUAACUGUGAUUGUUGAAAUAUUUGAAAAGAAAAAAUUGUAUUAUAAUGAUGGAAAUACUGCUCGUUGUUAAUUAACAUUAUAUUAAUAUUUUGAUUUUUGAUACGAAGUAUAAUGUAAAUUGAUUACCUUUACGUGUUUUGGUGCGUGUGAUUAUGACUGAUAAUUGUCUCUUUGCAGUAAGUUCAAACAAAAACACCUUGGGUUAAGAGCCUUGACACCGAGUCAAUGUACUUAAUGACACCGACAGAGGGCGUGCUCUGGCGCGCCAGAAACUACAUGACGAUACAGACUCUUUAAGAUUUUCAGCAUGGAGUCAGAGAAAAGCUCUAUUGAAACGCCAUUCCAAUUCGAUUUCAAGUUAAGAUGUGUUUUAUUUAGAAAACUUUGCUUUGCCAUGUCUAUUAAAAAUAUGUAUACACAUUCCACUGUGUCAAUCGAUAAGUUUCGACUGAAAUUGGCUUACAUUGAAUGUGUCCGGCCUAACGAAAAGUAGGCUAUAUUGGUUUUUUUCCCUCUAAAAUUACGAAAAACCUGAUUUUUUUUAAUUUGACAGUUGUUUCAAAUAGGCUUCGACUAAAGGCGCAAGGCAAGAAAUGAUUAUGUUGCAAAGGAUUCAGUGCUGGUCGGGAAUUGGUACAACAGUAUUUUUGUAUUUUGGAGUAAGAUAAAAAUGUAAAUUUCGAACCAGCCAACCGAUCCCGCAAGCUCGGUGGUCGAGUGGUAAGACGUCUGCGCAAAGCAGGAGGUCGCUGGUUCGGGUACCACCCGAGUGAUUUUUCCAACUUUCAUUCGGGAGUUGAGUAUACAGUGUUUGUACGUAGGUGAAGGGCAAAAACUAAUAUUGAUUUACAUCACCCCGACGCAAAUUCUAUCUUAUGAAUAUUAGAAGUAAAUUUGUUGGGUAAAGAGUAAAAAUGCUUAUUAUUUUUGGUACCACGGUACAAGCUGUGUGUAGGCCUAUUUGGCUUUUAGGCUGAGUUGUAAGGCAAGUCGAUCGCCAAGUCAAUCGCAAGAAAUCUACUAGUCGAAAGUAGUAGGGGCCCAAAAUGGACCUAACAAAUGAAUGCCUUUGUCGCGGUCAAUUCCAAUAUUGACUUGGGACUGGAUGAAUUGUGAUGACUUGUGAUUGGCUUGUGAUGGCUUAUGAUGACUUGUGACUGACUUAUGAUGACUUGUGACUGACUUAUGAUGACUUGUGAUGACUGAUUACAACUCUGUCUCCAAGCCAGCUGGACAAUCGAAGCAUGAUCUUAAAAGGUGCAGUGAAUCGUCUUAAUGUUUGGUGUAUAAAAUUUCAAUGCUUUGCUCUUUUUCUCCAGAAAGUUUUAUACCUGUGAAAUUUUAUGAACAUGUAUAUCAAAAUACAAAGCACACUGUUGGUGGUUUAUGUCUGUUACAAAGAAUCAUAAUUAUUUAUUCUACCUUGUGGGAAGUGAAAUUGAUUUAUGCCUUUAUCUUUUGCAAUAAAACAUGAAUGCACCUUAAUUUUCAAGAGCA